CCAGAAGCCUUUGCUGCUCAAAUAUAAUGCACCACAAGUGCCUCAUCUAGAGCCCUUUGAGCCCCAGGCAACUGGAAUAACUGUACAGGAAAGACUAAUGUCAUCAACUCAGGCAGAAAAACACUGCAACUGGAGAACGUAAGAGCUGUGCAACUGACACAUCUGGAAUUCUGGAGGAUCAUGGAAUACACAGCUCUUCUUGAUGGGGACACGAACUUCAUUAGAAAUAACUUCGGCUUUCAGGAAGCAAACAUUACACACCCACCUCCUCCACUGGGAAAACUGAGGCUCACUGUGUGCUCACAGCCACGUCCAGGUGCAGUGUUUUCUGCCUGAGGUGAUGACAUUAGUCUUUAAUGUACAGGUAUUCUAGUAAUGCACGUAGGUAAAAGAAAUGGGCCUUGCAUGUCUUCAGUACCUCUGGCUGCCUGGGGCUCAAAGGGCUCUGGGUGAGGCACUUGUGGUGCAUUAUAUUUGAGCAGCAAAGGCUUCUGGGUGAGGCAGUUGGCGUGCAUUAUAUUUGAGCGCAAAGGCUUCUGGGUGAGGCAGUUGGCGUGCAUUGUAUUUGAGCGCAAAGGCUUCUGGGUAAAGCAGUUAACGAGCUUUGCUGUUGCUCCUGCGCAAAGGCCUCUGGAUGAAGCAGUUGGUGUGCGGUGCUGCUGCCUGUACUUGGAGGACUCCUCUGGACUCCUGGGCUGUGCGCUCGGGGAGACGGUUGUUUCAGCCAUUAGGCUCAGGCAGAAGAGUUCAUCUGUUGCUGCAAGUUCCCAAGUCUGUCUUCUGUGGGUCUCAGCUGUCAUCUGUGGGUCUGACCAUCUGCUGGUCUUGGAAGCCUUCAGUCAGAUGUAUCUGGACCAAGUGAUUUGGUUGCAAGAGGCCAGGACUCCUGCCAUCUUGGAAGCCUCUCCAUUACCUGUUCACACGACACACGGAGCAUCCUUUGUGCCCUGAAGAAAACUCUGACCCCUCAACAGAAUAUGAAUGGCAGGGCAGAAAUACAAGUUGAGGCUACAUAAGUCAGUGCUUUGGGAACAGUUGUCAAGGCCCUGGUGAAACUCUCCACACCCAAUGACAAGUUCCUGUGUGUCACACUCUUGGUAACACUUCUGCCUAUGAAAUUAAACUCAGCUCUCUGAGGACUCAGUGGCUGAUCUUCUCUCAAACAUAGACUGCCUAAGAUAAGAAAUCAUUCAGCUUUCAAUAUCUCAAAAUUUUGACAGGAUAUCUCCAUAUUUCACUGCUGUUCUUAUCCAGGAUCAAGCUUGGAACCAGCUCCCGCUCUGACUUCAGCUGUCAAACACUGCAGACUUCACCUUGACUCUACUCAACGCACAGCGUGUGCCUCACCUUUCAUGCAGUCAGACACCCCGAGACAAAGUGUGCAGCGUGGCAUGGCAAACGUCUCCUACGAAGUAGAAGAGGAGGUGGAAAGUGUUUCAAAUGAGCAUGGACAUGAGGGAAAACUGACUUGGAGGGACAUCUACAGGCACAUGAAUUAUGAAAUGACUUUGUUUAGCAUGGAGAUUCCCUCCAUUUGAAGCAAAUUUCACCAGCAUCAACUGUCUAUAGGUACAUCUGGAGGGGGGUUUGUAUAGGUGUUUGUGUUUUGCAGUCUGUCCAGAUAUACAGUACAGAAGAGUGCAUUCAGAAGUUGCAGCAUGCAGAGCAAAAAGGAAGCUCACCAACAACAGUGAUUGGAUGAAUUGUGAAGGGUUCUGAAUAUUGGUGGGUUGGGAGCAAGCUGUCUAGCAAGCCAGGAUGGUUUUGAGAGCUGCACCCUAGGGAGUGGACUCGCCUGUUCUUGUCCCCCCUCUCUUCACUUAUGAGCACUAGAUGGACAUUCCCUGCCUCAUCAUUGCUCUGUUUCUCUCUAUUCUUGUCAGCAAUAAUAAUCUUGGACACAAAUGCAAAGAGGUCAGGCACUCUGAGGUACUCUUCUGCUUCCAGUGCCUACUGUCUCUCCUAAUGGCUCACAGGUACAUCUGGAGGCAAGCAGCUGAAGUUCUCACCAUGCCUGCAAGGUCUAUUGAGGCCUGUUUUCCUGAUGAUGACCCACAUUCCUUGGUACCUUCUUUAUAAUACUUCUUAGUUCCAUGGAGCUCCUCACUUGGCUGACACAAUUGUGACAACACCAGCCAUUAUGAACCUACCUAGAGGGCAGAGAGAGGUAAAUCAUGAGCUCAGACCUAUCUCUUAGAAUCUUUGUUCAGUCCUCAGGUCCCAAAGGAUCUGAGAAGGGUAUGCACCCAUAGAUCCACUGCUCAUGUGCAGAUACAGAAAUAGUUCGCCCUUAGUUAAAGCCUAUGAUGUAGUCAUGGCUGCCCUCUGGCACAUAACCCUAGGAAAUUCCUACCUGAUUCUCUCCUACACCUGUCCUCAUUCUCAGCAAGCUGCUAUCUACUCUCUGGUUUCAUUUUCCAGAAAGUAAAAUGCUUCCAAGUACACUUCAAAUAGAAAGGGGCCACGUAGUAGAAUCUUGCAGGCCCUGUGAUGGCACACGCUCUCAGGCUGAUUCCUCUUGAGUUCUCCAUGGAUCCCUUCACCCACCCUUCUCCAGCAUCCUUGCCCAGCCUCACUAGACAUUUCUCUGCUCCCCACAUGAAGCCUAGUUACUCAGGAAAAAUAUACUGUGGGGUUGGAUUUCUGGUGAGAUAAUAUAUUAUCACCAAGCCCUAAAAUGUGGACUUUCAUAAUAUCUUUCAUUUAAUCCAGGAAAUAGUUAUGAGAGUUAAUUUGCUGCUUACCUAGGAACCUUAAUCCACUCCCCAGGACAGACAUGGUGUAAAGAAAGAACUGAAUUCUGCAAGUUAAUCUUUAUGCAGAUAACAUCAAUAAAUCCUUUUCCUUAAAGUAACAGAUAUCUUUCUAAAAAGAUAGAUGUAAAAGUACAUUAUAGCCUGUUCCAGUUGCCUCUCACCUUGGAUGCCACCACCUGCCUUUUAACUCACAGCCUGGAUUUUGUUGCUGUCUAUCCAUCCUCUCAGAUUGGCAAGCAGCAACAUAAGGUUUACUGGUCUUUUAUAACCCAAUUCUUCAGGGUAUUCCAUAGCUACCUUUUAGAGGGGGCCCUGGGUGCAGUCUGAUAUCUGCCACAAAGCUGUCCCCUAGGUGUAUUUGGGAAAGAAAGGCUUGACUCUGUUCCUUGUAUAGUGGGAUCCUCAGCCUGGGACUCUUUGCUGGAAAUGGAGGAAAUCUAUCCUGUGAGGUCAUGUUGUCCUUUGAGCCAGUGGUAAUCACAUUGUGGAACUGUCCCAUGGGUUCCUGAUGAGGUGAUGUUUGUGGAAAUGUGUGUUUACUUUUCACUGGGUACUUGGUGCCCUCACUGGUCUUACUCCAAGAGGCAUGAGGAGAUAAAGGAUCCUGUGAGGACACUUUGCUGUUUGAAUUGUUAGAGCCAGCUUUGGACACAUCCAUGGAUGGAUGGCUGGAGGGAGUUUCCGGUGAUGAAUCCUCUGAAGACUCUCAGCUCUCACCUGAGGCUCUCUGCUCUCUGCCUCUCUCCCCUAACCCACGUGUGCUGAUCAUGCAUUGAACCUAGUGGACAAACUGAUGGCAGUUUCUGUAAAUUGGAUGUCUCUUCUUGUUUAAGCAUGUUAGGGUGUGUGGCAUAUUGUACCUCAUUCUACUCUCAUCUCCAUUCUCAGUGUUUUCAGGCUGAUUGGAGAUCAUGGAGGAGGGAAGGCUUGGCAGGCUAGAUACCCUCCUCAUAGCCUUUUUUUGUUUCAUGGUUGGAAUUGAACGUUUCAAGUUUUGAUCCCACUGCUGGCUUUUUUAUUGAGUUGUCUUCCCAGGGUGACUGUUGCCUCAGCAUCAAGUAGGUUGCCGUGACAUGGCCAUACUUUUUCUCCUGUAACCAUUCCUUUAUUGCUUUAAAUCCCUGUGGGCACUAUGUUUACAGUGACAAUACUGUAGGGCAGAUGCCAUUUGCUUAAAUAGCCUAUGGGAUUCUUGCUCAGGUAGAUAGCCAGACUCCAAAAUUAUGCCCAGUAACUCUCCUUCCACUUUGUGUUCCAGAUGCAUAUAAAUGUUUUUCACGAUAAUUUGCAAAACUUUAAUAAUAUGAGGGUAGAAUAGGGAUUUUAUCAUUUCAGUUUCUGAUUUGAUGAGUGUGUUCUUCUUUUUGUUAGGAUGUUAACUGCUUCCAUAGUCUGCAUGAGGAGGUGGUUAUUCAAUUUUCCUUCCCAGAUGCUCCUUGACCAAGGGUAUUUAAGACUUUAUACUGUUCAUAUAAAGCCUCUUCAUCAAAGUUUUUGGACCUUAGGUCUGACACAGGCCUAUUAUGACCCCAUUAUUCAGGGUCUUCUAUGCCCACUUUUAAGGGUGUCCUUCCUAAAGUCUUAUAGCAAUUGUGAAGGUGUCUCUUGGGCAUAUGUGGGAGGACAGGCUCCAUGCCGUUUCUUGUACAGUGGGAUCCUGACCCAUGGCUUCCUUGCUGCAGAAUGCAGGUGAUCUGUACUAAGAAGUCAUGUUGUUCCUUGAACCAGAGUGAGUCAUGUCAGGAAGCAGUGUGGGAAGAUCCCUGAGGUGAAGUUUGUGGAAGAGUGAGUUGAUUUUUCCACUGGAUAAGUUGGUGCACUUACACUGGGCUUCCUGGUCAGAGGCAAUUAAGAGGUUGUACAUUUUACUCUUUGAAUUAUUAUAGCCAGUUUGGACACAUCCACGGAUGACUGGCUGGAAUAGAUUUCCAAGGAUGAAAUCUCCUGAAGGUUCUCUGGUACAGCCUUCAUCUGAGGUAUCACUGCUCUCUGUCUCCCCUCAGAUGCUGCUCAUGAAGAGAGCCUUGUGGACAAGGCAGGGGCAGAUUCUGGGAAGGGGAGUUCUCUACUUGCUCAAGCAUUUCAGGGUGGGUGGCAUACUGUACCUCAUUCAGCUCUUUUUCCAUUUUAAGGAAUUCCAGUUGGGUUGACCAAAGGCAGGUGGGAAGGCAGGCACACUAGAUCCCCUCCUUAUAGCCAUUUGCUAUUUCUGGUUGGCCCUAUAUGGUUCAAGACUCAAUCCCACCGCUUGGGUUUAGGUUUUUAUUGAGUUUUCUUCCCAGGGUUAUUGUUGCCCCAGCAUCAGCUUUGGCGCCAUCACAUGGUCGAACUUUUUCUCCAGUAAAACUUCUGUCAUCUCCCAUUGCUCAUAUGCCAUGACACCCGUGUUGACCAUUACAGUGUGGUCUGGCAGGCUGUCCGUAUUCUCCUUAGAGGAAAUGAGGCAAAUGUAAUAGUCGUGAUUUAGCCACUCACAGCUCACAAUAUCAUGUACUGUUGGCCUUUGUCCAGUGUUUAUAGUUAACUUGUUAGCAGUCAUGUCACCAAGUUCUGGUGACAGUUUGAAUUUUACAGUGUACUUUCCUCACAAUGUCUUCUGCUUUAGUUCUCCGUGAUUACUUUUCUGGAAAGGGAAGCAUCCUGUGGACAUAAAGUAAAGCAGAACUCGAGAGCUCCAGACAUUGAUUGCAUGGCCAUGAUAACUUUUACCUUCAAAGUGUUCUUUGGGACAAAAUCGGGGAGUCUGUUUGAGAGUUGUUAGCUCAUGGACCAUGAUAGUCUUUUUUGUCUAAUCUGAACCACUAAGUUGUAUAUUUCCUUUGCCUUUCACUGUAAUAUUUCCUGGCUUUCUCUCCCUGAGGGCAAUACACUUCUGAUAACACUAUUAGAGGGAACAUACCAUUUGUUUAAAUAGCCUGUGGGAUUCCUCAUCAAGUAGGUUGCCAGUUUCCACAAUUCUGCCCAACAACUGCCCACACUUCCUGUUCCAGGAUCAGAUAAACGUUUUUAUGUAGUGUGCAAAUGAUUAAUAAUGUGAGGAUGGUAUACAGUUUUUCUAAUUGCAAUUACUGAUUUGGUCAAAGUUCUUUCUGUCUUAUACCAAAGUCUGGGUGAGGAAAUGGCUUCUCAGUUUUACUUCCAUAAAUGCUCCUUGUCCAAGGGUCUUUAGUAUUUUAUAAUGUUCAGAUAAAGCCUCUUCAUCAAAGGGGUUGAGCAUUAGGACCUGAGGCAGGCCCUUUUAACCCCAGUUUUCAUGGGCUUCAGACUCUUUCUUUUAAAGGGGACUCUGGGUACAGGAGGAUAGUGGCCAAAAAGGUGUCACUGGAGCGUGUUUAGGGAGGACGGGCUUGAGUGUCUUUCUUGCACAGGAGGACCCUCACCAUGGGCCUACUUCCUGUAGAAUGAAGGUGUUCUAUCCUGUGAGGUCAUGUUGUCCUUUGAAGCAGUGGUCUUCAUGACACUGAGCUAUGCUGUGAGGUCCUACUGAGGUGAGGACUGUGGACAACAUGUUAUUCUUUUCAAGGGGUGUUGGUGGAGUGACAUGGGAUUACUCCACAGAGGCAUGAUGAGGUAAAACACCCUGUAAGGACACUGGCUCUUUGGAUUGGUUGUGCCAGCUUUGGACACAUCCAGGAUGGCUGGCUGGGGUAGAUUUCCAGUGAUCAGUCCUCUGAAGACUCUCUGGUACAGCUUUCAUCGAGGCUCACUGCCCCCCGUCUUCCCUUAGGGGCUGCUCGUGACACGAGCCCUCUAGACAAGCUGGGGGCAGAUCCUGUGAAUGGGAACUCUCUUCUUUUCCAAGCCAUCAGGGAGGAUGGCAUAAUGUACCUUAUUCUACUAUUUUUCCCUUCUAAGUAUUUUCAGGUUGAUUUGGCCAAAUGAAGGUGGAAAGGGCAGGCGACCUAGAUCCCUGCCUUAGCCACUUGUUGGUUCAUGGUUGGCCCUGGAUGUUUCAAGCUAUUAACACCCUGCCUGGGCCUUAGGUAUUUUUAUUGAGUUGUCUUCCCCGGGUUAUUGUUACCUUGGCAUCAAAUAUGUUGCCAUGACAAGGUCAAUAUUUUUCUCCUGUAAGCACUACUUUGUAUGUUGUUGCUUAUAUCCCAUGAUGACCAUUACAGUCGGGUGUGGGUUGCUGUCUUUUUUCUCUCUAAAAAUACUGGGAGAACCUCCUUUUUCAUGCUUUAGUCUUUGAAAACGUAAAAAUGCAAUGAAGUGUUGACGUUUGUCCAGAGUUCACACUUAACAAGUUAGCAGUCACAUCACAAAGUUCUGUUGAAGUCCUGCCAAGGCACUCUGCUUUAGGUCGUCACAGUUAUCUUUCUGGAAAGGCCAGCAUCCUCUAGACAUAAAGCAGAGCACAUCCCUGGCCUCCACACAUCAACCACCAUAGUCUGCAUGAGGACAUUAUACCCUUUACCUUCAGAGAGGUCUGGGCCAGGUCAGGAGGGUCCCAGCAAAAGCUGCAAGCUUCUAGCCCGUGAUAACCUUCUUGCAAAAUUUGUAAUCGAUAAGGUUUAUAUUUCAUUUGCCUUCCACUACCGUAUUUCUGGGCUUUAUAUCCCUGUGGGCAAAUGUUUAUAGUGAAAAUACUGGAGGGCACAUACACUUGCUUAAAUAGCCUAUGGGGUUCUUUGUCAGGUACGUAGCCAAACUCCAAAAUUCUGCCCAACUACUCUCCUUCCACUUUGUGUUCCAAAACCAUAUAAAGUUUUUUGUUGAUAAUGUGCAAAAGAUUAAUGAUAUGAAUGUGGUGUAGAGUUUAUGAAGGUGUUCUUUCUCCCUUUUGUAGAAUUGUAACUGCCACCAUAGUCUGCAUGAGGAUAUGGCUAGCCAAUUUGACUUCCCUGAAUGCUCCUUGGCCAAGAGUCUUUAAUAUUUUAUAACAUUUAGAUAGAGCCUCUCCAUGAAAGUGAUUGGACUUUAAGACCUGGCACAGGCCUUUUAUAAACCCAUUCUUUAGGGUCUUCGAGGCUCAUAUUUUAAAGGGUACCCCGAUUACUGUCUUCACCAAUCAGAAAGGUGUCACUGGGGCAUAUACGGGAAGGAAAGGAUUGACUCUUUCUUCUUCUGGGAGACCCUCACCCUGAGACCCCUGGCAGGAAUAUAGAGGUGAUCCAGCCUGUGAAGCUGUGUUGUUCUUUGAACCAAUUGUAGUCAUGGUGUGGAGCUGUCUGGCAAGGGUCCCUUGAGGUAACCUUUGUGGAGACAUUGUUGAACUUUUAACUGGAUAUGUUGUUGCCCUUACACUGGGCUUCCCCACAGAGGAAUGGUGGAGUGAAACACUCAGGGAGGACACCUUGCUUUUCGCAUUCUUAGAGCCAGCUCUGGACACAUGCAUGGAUGAUUGCCUGGAGUAGAAUCACAGUGAUGAAGCUCUGAAGCCACUCCAGUAGAGCUUUCCUAAGAAGUGUCACUGCUCUCUCUCUCCCCUGACCUCCAAUGUGCUGCUCAUGAUGUCAGCCUUCUGGACAAGCUGAGGGCAGCUUUUCCCAAUGGGAGUUCUCUUCUUUUUCAAGCAGUUCAGGGUGGGUGGUGUACUCUACCUCAUUGUACUAUUUCUUCCUUCUCCAGACUUUCAGUUCGAUUGGGCCAGCUGAAGGUGGGAAGGGAAGACACAUUAGAUCCCGUCCUUAUAGCCUUUUAGAGUUUCAUGCUUGUCCCUGUAUGUUUCAAGGAUUGAUCCCGCUACCUGGGCUUAGGCUUUUUAUUGAGUUGUCUUCCCAGGAUGACUGUUGCCUCAGCAUUAAAUAAGUUGCCAUGGCUUGAUUAUAUUUCCCCUGUAAACUUCCAUUUAUCUCUCCUUGCUUGUAUCCCAUGAGACCUAUGAUGACCAUUACAGUGUGGUUUGGGUGGCUGUCUGUAUUCUUUCUAAAGGAACUACUUCAUCCUUAAUUGUCAUGCUUUAGCCAUUCAAAUCUCACUAUCAUGGCCUCUGUUCAGGGUGUACAGUUUCACAAAGUGACAAUCAUUUCACAUUUCUGGGUACAGCUUGAAUUUUACGUAGUACUGUCCGCCAAAGUCUUCUGCCUCAUGUCUUUAUACUUACUUCCCUGGAAAAGAAGGCAUCCUGUUCACAUAAAGUAUAGCAUAACCCCUAAGCUCCACAUAUCAAUAGCAUGGUCAUUAUACCCUGUACCUUCAAACAGUUCUUCAGCACAAUACAGAAGGCUCCCAUUGAAAGUUGGUAACUUCUGACCACAGAUUUUUUUAAUUUAAUCUGUAAAUAGUAAGGUUUUUUUUUAUUUCUUCAGCAUCCUCUAAAAUUUUUCUGGGCUUUUGACCCCUGUGGACAAUACAUUUCUGGUGACAAUGUUAGAGAACGCUUACCAUUUGCUUAAACAGCCUAUGGAAUUCUUCCUCUCUUAGGUAGCCAAAGACCACAAUUCUGCCUAACAUCUCUCCUCCCUCAUCAUAAUCCAGAAAAAUAUAAAUUGUUUGUGAGUAAUAUGCAAAAGAUUAAUAACAUAAGAGUGUUGCAGAGUUUUUAUCAUUUAAAUUUCUGAUUUGACGAGGGUGUUCUGUCUCCCUUGUGAUAGAAUUUUAACUGGUACCAUAGUCUGCAGGAGGAGAUGACAAGUAAAUUUCCUGUAAGCUCCUUGUCCAAAGGUCUUUAAGAUUUAUUAAUGGUCAUGUAAAGCCGCUUCUUCAAAGUGGUUGGAUCUUAGUUACUGACACAAGCCUUUUAUAACUCCAUUUUUCAGGGUCUUUGAGACCCACCUUUUAAAGGGAUCCUGGGGUUCAGUCUAUGAACAGUCAUGAAGGUGUCCCUAUAUGUGGGGAAGACAGGCUCGACACUCUUCUACACAGGAAACCUCACCUGAGGCCUCCUUGAUAGAGAAUGGAGAUGAUCUAUCCUAUGAGGUCCUGUUGUCCUUUGAACCAAUUGUAGUUGUGUCAUGGAGGUGUCCCAUGAAGUCAUCCUGAUGUGAGGUUGUGGUCUUUUCACUGGGUAUGAUGGUCCCCUUACACUGAGCUUCCUCCACAGAGGCAUGAUAACAUAAAACACCUCAUGAGGACACUGGCUCUUUAAAUUGUUAGAGCCAGCUUUCAACACAUCCAUGGAUGACUGGCUAGAGUAGAUUUCCAAUGAUGAAUCCUCUGAAGACAUUCUGAUAGAGCUUUCAUCCGAGAUGUAACUGUUCUCCUCCUCUAACCCCAUGUCCUGCUUGUGAAGUGAGACUUGUGGAUAAACUGAGGGCAGAUUCUGCAAAUGGGAACGGUCUUCUUCUUCAAGUAGUUCAGAGUAGGUAGCAUAGGAUACCUCAUUGUACUCUGUUUUUCCUCCUUGGGACUUUCAAGUAAACUAGGCAAACUUAAGGUGGGAGGAGUAGGAACAGUAGAUCCCUUCAUGAUAGCUGUUUGUUGUUUCAUGCUUGGCACUUUGUAUUUCACAGUUUGAUCCUAAUUACUGGACCUAGGAGGUUUUUUUUUAAUCGAGUUUCCCCUCUUGUGUUGACUCUUGCUUCAGCAUCAAAUCUAUAGCCAUCACAUCGUCAACCUUUUUCUCCUAUAAACUUUAUUUUAUCUCUCAUUGUUUCUAUACCAUGAUACACACUAUGUCCAUUAUAGUGGGGUUUGGAUGGCAGUCAGUGUUCUCUUUAAAGGAACUGCAAGAACCUUCAUUGUCACUCUUUAACCAUUCUAAGUUCACAAUGUCAUGUAGAGUCGGCUGUUAUGCAGGGUUUACAAGUUAGCAAACAUGUCACAAAAUUUAGGUGAUAGCUUGAUUUUUACAGAAGUACUUUCAUGUCAAGGUUGUCUGCUAUAUUGCUUCAUUGUUAUUUCCAUGAAAAGAGAGGCAUGCUGUUCACAUAUGGCAUAGCACAACCCCCAAGGUCCAGAGAUCAAUUGCGUGGCCAUCAUACCCUUUACCUUCAAAGAGUUCUGGGCCCAGUAAGGGAGAUUGCCAUAGGAUGUUGCUAGUCUGGCUCAUGAUAGUCUUCUUGACCAAUCACUAAGUUUUAUAUUCCUUUUGCCUUCCACUAAAAUAUUUGUGCCCUUUGUUCUCUGAGGGCCAUAUACUUUGGUGACAGUAAUAGUAGCUAUAUACCAUUUUCUUAAAUAGCCUAAGGGAUUCUUGCUCAGGUAGGUUUCCAAUCUCCCCAAUUCUGUGCAACAACUCUCAUUCCACCUCAUGUUCUGCAAUCAUAUAAAUGAUUUUUGUCUAUAGUGUACAAAAGUUUAGGAAUAUGAGGGUGAUGCAGAGGUUUUAUAAUUUCAAUUUCUGAUUUGAUGAGGGUGUUCUUUCUCCCUUUUGAUAGAAUUUUAACUGCUACCAUAGUGUGCAUGAGGACAUGGCUAGUCAGUUUUACUAUGAUGAGUGCUCCUUGGCCAUGGAUCUUUAAGACUCUUUAAUGAGCCCUUAAAUUGUCUUCACCUAAAGGGUUGGACCUUAGGACCAGACUCCCUUGCCAUCUCUUCGUCUUUGUUGAUAGGAAUGUUCAGUGUCAACACCAACUAGUAAUGUGAGAUAAAGUGAAUUAAAAGUGAGCCUAAAAUUCAGCCAGGGUAUGACAAAUACAGAGGCCAAUGCUAGCAGGAAACAUUGAAUUGUGUACGGGGUCCCCAUUGGAGGAGUUAGAGGAAGACCUGAAGGACCUGAAGGGGCUUGCAACUCCUUAAGAACAAUACCUACCAAACAGAGUUCCCAGGGACUAAAACAAAGAUUACACAUGGACAGACCAAUGGCUUCAGCUGUAUAUGGAGCAGAGGAUGGCCUUGUUGGGUAUCAAUGGGAGGAGAAGCUGUUGGUCCUGCCAAGGCUGGACAUCCCCAGUACAGGGGAAUAAUAUGGGGGGGGCAGCAUUGGGGUAGUUGGGGAGGGGGAACACCCCUAUAGAAGAAAGGAAGGGGGAUAGGAUAGGGGGCUUAUGUCUGGGCCAGGAAAGGGAAUAAUAUUUGAAAUGUAAAUUAAAAAAAUCCAAUUAAAAAUAAGAAAAAAAGUGGGUCUAAGAGAUACAGCUAUAGUUCUAAAUGUCUGCACUUUAAAAAAAGGUGCCCCAAAUGAUCUACUGAUGCAUUUAAACUUCAUGGAAAGCAUGGUCAGAACAGAACAUUCACGCCACAGGCAGUUAAGUAUGAAAAGGGAUCACUGUCAAAGUCCAAGUAGGUUCACCAGUGUCUGAGCACAAAUUUUCACCAGCAUUCGAGGCCAAACUUCUCCCAACUUUGCCGUCCAAACUUCACCAGCAACCAUGUAAGUGAUUUCAACAAUAUCUGUGUCAGGAGCCACCAUAGGAUGGGCUGAUAACUAGCAGAUGAUCUUCCUGAGAUGGUUUGCUUAGGAUUACAAUAUAACCGGUGACAGAUUCACUCUUAUCAAGCAAGGCCAUAAGACAAUUCAUUUUAAUAUACUUUAAUAUGCUGUUAAUAUACUUUUCCAGUUAUGAUUAAACAUGUAUAACAUAACUGGGUAUUAUCCCACCCCUUUAGAGCAGUUCUCUGCAGAUCUACGAAGAUUUACUGUCUUAUAGUGAUGCUAUAUAGACAAACACAUGACUUCUUCAGUCGUAAUGAUGAUCCUAUAAGAAUUCCUAAAAUGAUAUCAGUGAGUAUUAAGCUCUUUUAUACUGGGACUGCUACUGAGUCCUUUUCUGAUAGUCAAAACUGAAAUGAGAACUCUGACAGUCUCCCAAGUGUAACCAGAUUUUCUCCUACUCAGAACACAUUGCCAGAGGUUGUACAACAAUUACCCAAAUGUCAUAAAAAGGGAACUAUCAAUUUAUUAUAGGUGUUAGGACAGAAGAAAACAUAUUGAUGGGGUUUAUCUAUACAAAACUUAACUAAAAACUUAAUUAUUGUUUUGAACUUACAACGAAUCUGUGGAGCUGUGACAGGUGAGGGAUGUUUAGCCAGAUACUUACUCCUAAUGGGUAUGCAUGUAAACAUACUCUGUUGUAAACUUCUAUCUCAAUUUAUGAUUUAAUUUUUUGUGUGAACUUGUGAUGAACUUUUUAACAUGUGAUCAUGAAUACUGAAAGAUGUAUAAGUACUGAGGACAAAGAAAGAAGAAUUUUUCCCCUUCCCCACUAAGGAUCUUUCCACUUUAAGCCUUGGAUAACUUUCAUAGGAAACGUUUUACAACUUACCAAUAAACACU